rnacentral:rRNA from 1 species
UACGUAGGGUGCGAGCGUUGUCCGGAAUUAUUGGGCGUAAAGCGCUCGCAGGCGGCUCGAUGCGUCGUGCGUGAAACACCCCGGCUCAACUGGGGAGGGUCGUGCGAUACGGUCGGGCUGGAGGCCAGUAGGGGGAUGCGGAAUUCCGGGUGUAGUGGUGGAAUGCGUAGAGAUCCGGAGGAACACCAGCGGCGAAGGCGGCAUCCUGGACUGGUCCUGACGCUCAGGAGCGAAAGCGUGGGAGCGAACAGG